AAAGCCGAAGACAAGGAGUGGAUCCUGGUCAAGGAUAUGAAGUUCAAGUCUCUGGAGGAACUCAUCCUGUUCUUCCUGCCCAAUUAGGAAUCCAAAAUUAUUGGCUUUUCCUUGGGCACAUCCCUAAAGAGUGAGGUUCUAUACAUUCCACUUGUGCAGGAGCAGACUCGGGCGACGAGUGGACCAGGUUUAAGUCCUUUGGUGGCUAUUGAGGACUACAACGGUUAUGUUGGUCUUGGUGCCAACUGCUCCAAGAUGGUAGCCACUGCUAUCCAAGGGUCCAUAUUCUUGGCCAAGCUUUUCUUUUCAUUGUCCCUGUGUGGGGAGCCUACGGGGGGUGAGGGUGGGGAUACAAGACUAGCAAGCCCCACACUGCUCUGUGUAAGGUGGUAAGCUACUUUGACUCUAUGCAGGUGGAUCUCAUCUGUGCCUCAGAGGCACUGGCAUCGUCCUGCUUGUGUGCCCAAGAAUCUGCUGCUGAUGGCUGGUAUUGAUGACGGCUACACAUCAGCCAGGGGCUGAACUGCCACCAUGGGUAGCUUUGCCAAGGCCACCUUUGAUGCCAUCUUCAAAACCUGCAACUACCUAACCCCUGACCUCUGGAAAAAGACUGUAUUCACCAAGUCUCCCUAUCAGGGAUUCACUGACCUUCUUGUGAAAACCCACACCAGAGUCUCUGCUCAG
rnacentral:lncRNA from 1 species